UGGUUCAGUCUGGCAAUCCUCUUGGGGAUCGUUUCUGUGCUUGAUUGCAUGGGGCGGAAUUCAAGACUUUUACUUUGAGGAAAUUAGAGUGUUCACGGCAAGCUAUCGCUUUGAAUACAUUAGCAUGGAAUAAUAAUAUAGGGCGUAAGUUCUAUUUUGUUGGUUUCUAGAACAUACGCAAUGAUUAAUAGGGAUAAUUGGGGGCACUCGUAUUAACGCGUCAGAGGUGGAAUUCUUAGAUUGCGUUACGACGAACUACUGCGAAAGCAUUUGCCAAGGAUGUUUUCAUUGAUCAAGAACGAAAGUAUGGGGAUCGAAGACGAUUAGAUACCGUCGUAGUCUAUACCAUAAACUAUGCCAACUAGAGAUUGGAGGUCGUUUUUUUUAUGACUCCUUCAGCACCUUAUGAGAAAUCAAAGUCUUUGGGUUCCGGGGGGAGUAUGGUCGCAAGGCUGAAACUUAAAGGAAUUGACGGAAGGGCACCACCAGGAGU
rnacentral:rRNA from 1 species